rnacentral:rRNA from 1 species
GGAAAGGCGAAAAGAACCCCGGGAGGGGAGUGAAAUAGAUCCUGAAACCGCAUGCAUACAAACAGUCGGAGCCUCGCAAGGGGUGACGGCGUACCUUUUGUAUAAUGGGUCAGCGACUUACAUUCAGUGGCAAGCUUAACCGAUUAGGGCAGGCGUAGCGAAAGCGAGUCCGAACAGGGCGUUCAGUCGCUGGGUGUAGACCCGAAACCAGGUGAUCUAUCCAUGGCCAGGAUGAAGGUGCGGUAACACGUACUGGAGGUCCGAACCCACUAACGUUGAAAAGUUAGGGGAUGAGCUGUGGAUAGGGGUGAAAGGCUAAACAAACCUGGAAAUAGCUGGUUCUCUCCGAAAACUAUUUAGGUAGUGCCUCGUGUAUCACCUUCGGGGGUAGAGCACUGUCAUGGUUGUGGGGUCCAUUGCGGAUUACUACGCCAUAGCAAACUCCGAAUACCGAAGAGUGCAAUCACGGGAGACAGACAUCGGGUGCUAACGUCCGGUGUCAAGAGGGAAACAACCCAGACCGCCAGCUAAGGUCCCAAAGAUUGGCUAAGUGGGAAACGAAGUGGGAAGGCUAAAACAGUCAGGAGGUUGGCUUAGAAGCAGCCAUCCUUUAAAGAAAGCGUAAUAGCUCACUGAUCGAGUCGUCCUGCGCGGAAGAUGUAACGGGGCUAAGCAAUAUACCGAAGCUGCGGAUGCACAUUUAUGUGCAUGGUAGGAGAGCGUUCCGUAAGCCUGCGAAGGUGCAUUGAAAAGUGCGCUGGAGGUAUCGGAAGUGCGAAUGCUGACAUGAGUAGCGAUAAAGGGGGUGAAAGGCCCCCUCGCCGUAAGCCCAAGGUUUCCUACGCAACGUUCAUCGGCGUAGGGUGAGUCGGCCCCUAAGGCGAGGCAGAAAUGCGUAGCUGAUGGGAAGCAGGUUAAUAUUCCUGCACCAUUGUUAAAUGCGAUGGGGGGACGGAUCGCGGAAGGUUGUCCGGGUGUUGGAAGUCCCGGUCCUUGCAUUGGAGAAGGCGCUUAGGCAAAUCCGGGCGCGUAAUUCAAGGGUGUGAGGCCAUUCACUCAGGUGAAGAAGCAACUGGAAGUGGUUCCAAGAAAAGCCUCUAAGCUUCAGUUUAACAAGACCGUACCGCAAACCGACACAGGUGGGCGAGAUGAGUAUUCUAAGGCGCUUGAGAGAACUCGGGAGAAGGAACUCGGCAAAUUGGUACCGUAACUUCGGGAUAAGGUACGCCCCUGUAGCUUGACUGGCCUGCGCCAGAAGGGUGAAGGGGUUGCAAUAAACUGGUGGCUGCGACUGUUUAAUAAAAACACAGCACUCUGCAAACACGAAAGUGGACGUAUAGGGUGUGACGCCUGCCCGGUGCUGGAAGAUUAAAUGAUGGGGUGCAAGCUCUUGAUUGAAGUCCCAGUAAACGGCGGCCGUAACUAUAACGGUCCUAAGGUAGCGAAAUUCCUUGUC